AUUGAACGCUAGCGGCAGGCCUAACACAUGCAAGUCGAACGAGUGGCGGACGGGUGAGUAAUGUCUGGGAAACUGCCUGAUGGAGGGGGAUAACUACUGGAAACGGUGGCUAAUACCGCAUACUAUUGGAUGUGCCUAGAUGGGAUUAGCUAGUAGGUGGGGUAACGUCUCACCAAGGCGACGAUCCCUAGCUGGUCUGAGAGGAUGACCAGCAACACUGGAACUGAGACACGGUCCAGACUCCUACGGGAGGCAGCAGUGGGGAAUAUUGCACAAUGGGCGCAAGCCUGAUGCAGCCAUGCCGCGUGUAUGAAGAAGGCCUUCGGGUUGUAAAGUACUUUCAGCGGGGAGGCGUUACCCGCAGAAUAAGCACCGGCUAACUCCGUGCCAGCCGCCGCGGUAAUUC
rnacentral:rRNA from 1 species